rnacentral:rRNA from 1 species
GCCAGCAGUCAUAUCGCCUUAUAGCUCACAACUGGCAACCCACUGAAGCUAAUCAGGUGUGAGCCUGGUCAGUACCUGCAUGGGAGACCUCCUGGUUAAAACUAAGGUUGCUGCUGGAA